rnacentral:lncRNA from 1 species
CGGAAAUAACGGAUAUAACAGAAAUAACGGAAAUAACCUCCACAGAGACAGAAACAUACUGCAGAAAAUUAGGUGACAGGUGAAGAACAACAACGGAAAGAAUAGAAAUAACGGAAAGAACCUCCGAAACACAUAAACAUACAGCAGAAAAUUAGGUGAUAGGUCAAGAAGAACAACGGAAAGAACGGAAAUAACGGAAAGAAGCUCCAGAGAGACAGAAACAUACUGCAGAAAAUUAGGUGAGAGGUCAAGAACAACAAUGGAAAGAACGGAAAUAACUACGGAAAUAACAACCGAAAGACAGAAACAUAGGGCAGAAAAUUAGGUGACAGGUAAGGAACAUCAACGGAAAUAACGGAAAUAAACACCGAAAGACGGAAUCAUACGGCAGAAAAUUAAGUGACAGGUCAAGAACAUCAACGGAAAGAACGGAAAUUACGGAAAGAACAGAAAUAACCUCCGAAAGACAGAAACAUACGGCAGAAAAUUAGGUGACAGGUCAAGAACAACAACGGAAAGAACGGAAAUAACGGAAAGAACCACCAGAGAGACAGAAACAUAGGGCAGAAAAUUAGGUGACAGGUCAAGAACAACAACGGAAAUUACGGAAAUAUCGGAAAUAAUGGAAAUAACAGAAAUAACGGAAAGAUCGGAAAGAACGGAAGGAACAGAAAGAACAGGAAGAACGGAAAAUACGGAAAUAAUAACGGUAAUAACGGAAAUAACCUCCACAGGGCCAGAAACAUGCAGCAGGAAAUUAAAUGACAGGUCUAGAACAACAACGGAAAUAACGGAAAUAACAACCGAAAUAACCUCCGAAAUACAGAAACAUACAGCAGAAAAUUAGGUGACAGGUGAAGAACAACAACGGAAAGAACAGAAAUAACGGAAAGGACCUCCAGAGAGUCAGAAACAUACGACAAAAAAUUAGGUGACAGGUGAAGAACAACAACGGAAAGAACGGAAA